rnacentral:rRNA from 1 species
GUUAAAACGCUCGUAGUCGGAUUUCGGGGCGGGUCUACCGGUUUGCCGAUGGGUAUAUACUGGCGGGCGCGUCCUUCCUUCCGGAGACCGCGCCUCCUCUUAACUGAGCGGGCGUGGGAGACGGAUCGUUUACUUUGAAAAAAUCAGAGUGUUUCAAGCAGGCAUGUCGCUCUUGCAUGGAUUAGCAUGGGAUAAUGAAAUAGGACUUUGGUGCUAUUUUGUUGGUUUCGAGCACCGAAGUAAUGAUUAACAGGGACAGUCAGGGGCACUCGUAUUCCGCAGAGAGAGGUGAAAUUCUUAGACCCGCGGAAGACGAACCACUGCGAAAGCAUUUGCCAGGGAUGUUUUCACUGAUCAAGAACGAAAGUUAGGGGAUCGAAGACGAUCAGAUACCGUCGUAGUCUUAACCAUAAACGAUGCCAACUAGGGAUUCCGAGAUGUUGUUUUUGACUCUCGGAGCACCUUACGGGAAACUAAAGUCUUUGGGUUCCGGGGGGAGUAUGGUCGCAAGGCUGAAACUUAAAGGAAUUGACGGAAGGGCACCACCAGGAGUGGAGCCUGCGGCUUAAUUUGACUCAACACGGGGAAACUUACCAGGUCCAGACAUUGUGAGGAUUGACAGAUUGAGAGCUCUUUCUUGAUUCGAUGGGUGGUGGUGCAUGGCCGUCCUUAGUUGGUGGAGUGAUUUGUCUGGUUAAUUCCGUUAA